AAACAUUAUGAAAAUUGAAGCUUUGUGUGUUCUUAUUGUAAUUUAUUUAUUUUAUAGCAGGUAAACUUUAUACUGUAAGCUUCAUUCCCUUUAUAACAGAGAUUUCAUAUGUGAGGUAAUCUUACUGGGAGUGAAGGCAGUGCUUAUGACCACUUGAUAUGAGAGACACAUCCUGUUUUUAAAGGUGGAUCAUGAGUGAAGCUCUGCAGGUCGGCCAUUGACUUGAUAACAGUGGUUUAUUUUUAUUCAAUUUAUGAAUAAAUCUCUCGCCAACCAUUCACCUAUUUACUGACAAAACGGAUCCAAGUCUUGUUCAGCCUGAUGCUCAACCUUGUAUGAUGAUGACCACAGCCAGGUGAUGGAGAUCUGUGUUAAUCACAGCCUGCGUCUCAAGAUCAACAUGACAAUAGCGGCCAUCUUUUAUCUUACUCUUAUCUGACUAAACAUUGGAUGGAGUAUGUACUGUACAAUGACCCAGCAAACAAAAUAAUAUGGACUUUUUUGGCGAGAUUCUAACAUUGACACAUUAAUUUUUAUAGUUAGUAAUGUAUUAUUAACAUCCUAUUCAUUUGUAUUCUAUGCCAUCUAUCUGUUUGUGCUAAAGUGUUUACAUCUGAAUGUAAUGUCAUAAUAUGUUAAUAUUCAGUAUUUAUUAUCAUUUGCAUGUUUUGAUGUUGCAUUUGUCAUGAUUUUAUUAAUUUCAUGUUAUUGUUGUCUAUUUAGAAUGAUUGUCUUUGCCAAUGAUUCUGAUUUUAA